GACGUAGGGCGCGAGCGUUGUCCGGAUUUAUUGGGCGUAAAGAGCUCGUAGGCGGCUUGUCGCGUCGUCCGUGAAAACUUGGGGCUCAACCCCAAGCUUGCGGUCGAUACGGGCAGGCUCGAGUUCGGUAGGGGAGACUGGAAUUCCCGGUGUAGCGGUGAAAUGCGCAGAUAUCAGGAGGAACACCGGUGGCGAAGGCGGGUCUCUGGGCCGAUACUGACGCUGAGGAGCGAAAGCGUGGGGAGCGAACAGG
rnacentral:rRNA from 1 species